AUUGCCUCUUGGCCAUUUAGCUAAGAUCAAGUGUAGUAUCUGUUCUUAUCAGUUUGAUAUCUUACAUGUCCUCUAUUUGAGAAUAUUAUAUUAAGUGGAUUUUUGGAGCUGAGAGGUGGAAUAGGAGUUUGCUCUACCCACUAUGCGCAUUGACCUGGUAUUGCAGUACUUCCAGAAAUGGUGCACCAAAA